GUGCUCUUCUCAUGAAGGGAAAAAUAGGACUGAAUAAUACGCAGUUUUGGACUAUCCUCCACUUGAGCCUUUGGGAUAACAUGGUCUUUUAAAUAUGCCCAAUCAGGCUGUUUCCACAGACUAUCAAGCAAUAUCUCAUAAUUCUCAACCAUCUUGCCAAAGUCGACCAAUACAUCCCAUUGACUAAGUUGACUAGCACAACAUAGCCACUGCUCCUCCCAGAGACACAUUUCAGCUUUUGGAACUGUAUUGUUGUAAGUGCCCUGGGUUGCUUUAACCAUGGCUUGGUAGAAGAGACUUUGAGCCCGCUGCCAAUAGCCAUGCUGAACAAGAGAAAGUCCAGCCCGUGUCUCAGCAGUAAUUGACCGUUUCUUCCACAAUCCACACCUCAUAUCUUCUUCAUUGAGUAAUCGGUAAAGCUCAGCAAGAGACUCUGAACAUUUCGUGUCAUU
rnacentral:misc_RNA from 1 species